UGAUAGUAUAACAACAGUAGCUAGGAUGAAGAAAAUGCAGGAACCCAUACAGUUUGUCUCUUGCUCUAAGGAACAGAGAAUCCCUGAUGUGUUUUUAUAACUUAUUCUUUAAAACCUGAAUGAUGGAGAUCAUUCACAUCCGCAUCUUUAGUGAUCUAUUUAUUUCCAUAACUAUUCUUAGAGUUAGGUUUUCCAAUUUUAGCCUAAACCUUUCCUGCCACAAUUGAAGCUAGUUAGUUAGUUCUCAGUGUCAUGAAGAACAGUCAUUUGCACACCUGUAUUUGAGAACCUUCUACAUAUUGGAAGUUUAUUGUUAUAUCACCACCACACCUGCCAUCAGCCUUUACUUUUUAGAGCAAAUAUAUCCUUUCCCUUUUUCAAUUAGUCUCCAUCUUUUAAAUAUCAAUUUGUAACCUUUUUUUUUUUUUUUUUUUUUACUAGCCCAUUAAACUAUACCAAACUAAGACUUCUGAGAGACUUCUUGCCGACUCUCUCCAUAAAGCUGACACGACCAGCCAUGAACACAGCAAAGCAGGAAACAUCUCCAGAACAAGAAAAUCAUCACAGUGGAGCUUUUGCCAGUUUUUUUUUCCUGUCUGCUAUCCUGGAUCAGAGGACUUUAUUUUGAUUGCUUAGUUUCAACUCUUACUUAAAAAUUGUGUUUUGCCAAAGUUAUUGAUCUCCUUUUGUUAUAUAAAACAACAGAGUCUUCAGAAACAUUUAACAUUUAUGCUUUCUCUCAGUUUGCUGGUGCCUGACAAUACUCUGCCUAUAGUCAGAAAAGCCAUGAUCUGGAAAAUCACUGUGAUCUAUGUCAACCUCAGUGGCCAGUGCCAUGCGAGCUGUUAACAGCUGCAGCACUACAUUAACAACAGUCUCAUUAACAUCUGCUGGGCUCUUCAUUUAGUUUUAUGUGCUGAUUCACUUGCAGCCAUGUACUUACCUAUGCUGGGUUUGUCUGCAGUCUUGUGGUUUCACAACUAUCUUCAGCCAGCUUGAGAAGGUGCUCUUCCAAAAAGUGCAAUUCUUCUUCUCACCCUGGUGCAUGUUACCAAUGACUCCUCUGUGGUAGUGCUGGUGCUUGCGUGGCUACACAGUGACUCAGAGAAGCUCGCUAAACCCAGCUGGGAAAAACAUUUACAAAAAAUGUAUUUUUUCACCUAGGUCAGCAAGCUUUUACAGC
rnacentral:lncRNA from 1 species